CGGGCCGUAGCGCAGUCUGGUAGCGCACCUGCAUGGGGUGCAGGUGGUCGCAGGUUCGAAUCCUGUCGGCCCGACCU
rnacentral:tRNA from 1 species